UGGUUAGUGGCAGACGGGUGAGUAAUGCAUAGGAAUCUACCUAGUAGUAUGGGAUAGCCACUGGAAAUGGUGGGUAAUACCGUAUAAUCCCCGCGGGGGAAAGAUUUAUCGCUAUUAGAUGAGCCUAUGUCGGAUUAGCUAGUUGGUGGGGUAAUGGCCUACCAAGGCAGUGAUCUGUAGCUGGUCUGAGAGGAUGAUCAGCCACACUGGAACUGAGACACGGUCCAGACUCCUACGGGAGGCAGCAGUGGGGAAUAUUGGACAAUGGGCGCAAGCCUGAUCCAGCUAUGCCGCGUGAGUGAGGAAGGCCUUAGGGUUGUAAAACUCUUUCAGUAGGGAAGAUAAUGACGGUACCUA
rnacentral:rRNA from 1 species